UAAAUAUGUGAACAAGGUUUAAUCUAUGUGGCCAACAUCUUGGCAAAAGCAGGACAUAAAAACCAAUCAUGUAAUAUGAUACAGAAACAUGUAUUCAAAUCUCAAUAUCUUAUAAGAUUGUAUUCACAUUUUUCAAUAAUGCUAUCUUUUAUCAUAAAGCUUUUUUAUUUUCCUUGUGCUAAAGUAUUAACAGAUUUGUUCUUUGAAUCUUCCUUAACCCUUAAUGGAAUAGGAUAAAUUUUCAUGGAAUCCAAAUUUAAACUAGGUGGAUCUGUUUAAGUGGACGUAAACUUACGUCUCACCUUCUUCUCUAGAUGUCACUCCAGUAAAGAUAAAGGCAAAACAAACACAUUCUAGUACUAAAAAGGUAUUAUCUUGGCAAACACAUUCUAGUACUAAAAAGGUAUUAUCUUGGCAAACACAUUCUAGUACUAAAAAGGUAUUAUCUUGGCAAACACAUUCUAGUACUAAAAAGGUAUUAUCUUGGCAAACACAUUCUAGUACUAAAAAGGUAUUAUCUUGGCAAACACAUUCUAGUACUAAAAAGGUAUUAUCUUGGCAAACACAUUCUAGUACUAAAAAGGUAUUAUCUUGGCAAACACAUUCUAGUACUAAAAAGGUAUUAUCUUGGCAAACAAGAAUGCA